UACGUAGGGUGCAAGCGUUGUCCGGAAUUAUUGGGCGUAAAGAGCUCGUAGGCGGCUUGUCGCGUCGGCUGUGAAAACCCGGGGGCCUCAACCCCGGGCCUGCAGUCGAUACGGGCAGGCUAGAGUCCGGCAGGGGAGACUGGAAUUCCUGGUGUAGCGGUGAAAUGCGCAGAUAUCAGGAGGAACACCGGUGGCGAAGGCGGAUCUCUGGGCCGUAACUGACGCUGAGGAGCGAAAGCAUGGGGAGCGAACAGG
rnacentral:rRNA from 1 species